rnacentral:rRNA from 1 species
GACGAACGCUGGCGGCGUGCUUAACACAUGCAAGUCGAACGGAGUGGCGAACGGGGGAGUAACACGUGGGUGAUCUGCCUUGCACUUCGGGAUAAGCUUGGGGAACUGGGUCUAAUACCUGAUAGUGCAAGAUGAGUGCGCGGCCUGUCAGCUAGUUGGGGGGGUAAUGGCCUACCAAGGCGUCGACGGGUAGCCGGCCUGAGAGGGGGUACGGCGACAUUGGGAGUGAGAGAGGGCCCAGGCUCCUAGGGGGGGCAGCAGUGGGGAAUAUUGCACAAUGGGCGGAAGCCUGAUGCGGCGACGCCGCGUGGGGGAUGAAGGGCUUCGGGUUGUAAACUCCUUUCGACAGGGACGCGGUACCUGUAUAAGAAGCACCGGCUAACUACGUGCCAGCAGCCGCGGUAAUAC